rnacentral:rRNA from 1 species
UACAGAGGUCUCAAGCGUUGUUCGGAAUCACUGGGCGUAAAGGGUGUGUAGGCGGUGUGUUAAGUCAGAUGUGAAAGCCCGGGGCUCAACCUCGGAACUGCAUCCGAUACUGGGUUGCUUGAAUUCGGGAGAGGAUAGCGGAAUUCCCAGUGUAGAGGUGAAAUUCGUAGAUAUUGGGAAGAACACCGGUGGCGAAGGCGGCUGUCUGGACCGACAUUGACGCUGAGGCGCGAAAGCGUGGGGAGCAAACAGG